rnacentral:rRNA from 1 species
AUUGAACGCUGGCGGCAUGCCUUACACAUGCAAGUCGAACGGUAACGGGCCUUCGGGUGCCGACGAGUGGCGAACGGGUGAGUAAUACAUCGGAACGUGCCCGAUCGUGGGGGAUAACGAGGCGAAAGCUUUGCUAAUACCGCAUACGAUCUACGGAUGAAAGCAGGGGACCGCAAGGCCUUGCGCGGACGGAGCGGCCGAUGGCAGAUUAGGUAGUUGGUGGGAUAAAAGCUUACCAAGCCGACGAUCUGUAGCUGGUCUGAGAGGAUGAUCAGCCACACUGGGACUGAGACACGGCCCAGACUCCUACGGGAGGCAGCAGUGGGGAAUUUUGGACAAUGGGCGCAAGCCUGAUCCAGCCAUGCCGCGUGCAGGAUGGAGGCCUUCGGGUUGUAAACUGCUUUUGUACGGAACGAAAAGCCUUCUUUUAAUACAGGAGGGUCAUGACGGUACCGUAAGAAUAAGCACCGGCUAACUACGUG